UACGUAGGCAGCAAGCGUUGUUCGGAGUUACUGGGCGUAAAGGGUGCGUAGGCGGCUUUUCAAGUCUGGUGUGAAAUCUCCCGGCUCAACUGGGAGGGUGCGCCGGAUACUGAGGGGCUAGAGUGUGGGAGAGGAAAGUGGAAUUCCUGGUGUAGCGGCGAAAUGCGUAGAUAUCAGGAGGAACACCGGUGGUGUAAACGGCUUUCUGGACCAUAACUGACGCUGAGGCACGAAAGCGUGGGUAGCAAACAGG
rnacentral:rRNA from 1 species